rnacentral:rRNA from 1 species
AUUGAACGCUGGCGGCAGGCUUAACACAUGCAAGUCGAGCGAGCGGCGGACGGGUGAGUGAUGUCUUGGAAACUUCCUGAUGGAGGGGGAUAACUACUGGAACCGUUAGCUAAUACCGCAUACGAUCAGAUCUGCCCAGAUGGGAUUAGCUAGUGGGUGGGGUAAUGGCUCACCUAGGCGACGAUCCCUAGCUGGUCUGAGAGGCUGAUCAGCCACACUGGGACUGAGACACGGCCCAGACUCCUACGGGAGGCAGCAGUGGGGAAUAUUGGGCAAUGGGCGCAAGCCUGACGCAGCAAUGCCGCGUGUGUGAAGAAGGCUUUCGGGUUGUAAAGCACUGUCAGCGAGGAGGCGUUACUCGCAGAGGAAGCACCGGCUAACUACGUGCCAGCAGCCGCGGUAAUUC